rnacentral:rRNA from 1 species
UACAGAGGGUGCAAGCGUUAAUCGGAAUUACUGGGCGUAAAGCGUGCGUAGACGGUUAUUUAAGUCAGGUGUGAAAGCCCCGGGCUCAACCUGGGAAUUGCAUUUGAGACUGAAUAGCUAGGGUGCGGAAGAGGGAAGCGGAAUUUCCGGUGUAGCGGCGAAAUGCGUAGAUAUCGGAAGGAACAUCAGUGGCGAAAGCGACUUCCUGGACCGGCAUUGACGCUGAGGAGCGAAAGCGUGGGGAGCAAACAGG